rnacentral:rRNA from 1 species
UACGUAGGGCGCAAGCGUUAUCCGGAAUUAUUGGGCGUAAAGAGCUCGUAGGCGGUUUGUCGCGUCUGCCGUGAAAGUCCGGGGCUCAACUCCGGAUCUGCGGUGGGUACGGGCAGACUAGAGUGAUGUAGGGGAGACUGGAAUUCCUGGUGUAGCGGUGAAAUGCGCAGAUAUCAGGAGGAACACCAGCGGCGAAGGCGGCGCUCUGGGCUGGCACUGACACUGAGGAGCGAAAGCGUGGGGAGCAAACAGG